AGCAGGCGCGAAAACUCUACAAUGCAGGCAACUGCGAUAGGGGAACAUCGAGUGAUACUCAUAUUGGGUGUCUGUCCCACCGUCUAAAAAACGGUGGUUAGCAAGGGCCGGGCAAGACCGGUGCCAGCCGCCGCGGUAAUACCGGCGGCCCGAGUGGUGAUUGUGAUUAUUGGGUCUAAAGGGUCCGUAGCCGGUUUGGUCAGUCCUCCGGGAAAUCUGACAGCUCAACUGUUAGGCUUUCGGGGGAUACUGCCAGACUUGGAACCGGGAGAGGUAAGA
rnacentral:rRNA from 1 species